GAAACACUAGCAAGAUUAUUCUGUGAGAUCUAAUUUGUUCUUAUACUUUAUUUUUAUGCUUGUAUCUGUGAUUCUUGUGGUUUAUCGAUAUUAAUUAUUUUAAUCCAUUAGGUAGUGCACAAUAUUUAGUGGGUUAGAAUUAAUUAUACAGCUAAUUAAAUCGGCCAUACGUAAUCGUGGUUUAGGUUUGAUUAGUGGUAAAUUGGCACAUCAGGGUCAAGGGAAAAGCAGUCUUAAUUCAAUAAUCCUGCAUCAGAGUUUAUUGGUUUUGAAUCGGGUUUCUCUAGAAAUUAAUGCUGUCGACUCAUUAAAUCUAUAGAGCGUCUCUUACAGUUGUCAGUCGAUUAGGAUAGUAAUUAGUGAAACGUCUUACUGGUUACCGAAUAAUUAAGGAGAAAUAAGAUCACGUCAGAAGCGUCUUCGGUGAUUAUAACUGGUUUGCUUGCAUGAAUUAAAGUUAUAUUUGCAUCAAUGAUCGGAAUAAUUAAGUUAGGGUGGACUUAAUUGAUUGCUGGAAUUUCUUCAUUAAUUGUUGAACUUUUUUCUAUUUAUUCUUUAGGAUUAGAACGAUUGCAAUUCUUUUAGAUUUUAUUUGUUUAUUUAUAGAUUUAGUAUUUUUCCAAUUUUAUCCAUUAAUUUUGUUUCAGUUGAGUUUCUUUGCAGGUUGAAUUUUAGGAGAAUUCUCACUGAUUCCUUGGGAGACGAUUUUGCUUGCUACUGUCUGCGCAAUGUGGGCAUACCGGCUGACUGCCGGAUAUUUUUGGUGUAAAACGACGCACCACACUUCUAGGGACAGCCUUGCCAGAUUCCAGCGCUUCCAGGGACAGCCUUGCCGGAUUCUAGCCUUGCCAUCGACUUGGGCUUCUUUUCUCUGUUUUGUGGGCUUUAGGGUUAGGCCCAAUUAUUCAUCUAUAAAGAUGACUCUUGUACAUGGAAAGAGGGAGAUCCAUUCAUUCUUACUACUGCACUUAUAAUUUUGCAAGGGACUUCACACGUGUUGAGUGUGCUCGAUCAAGUGAAUCUUCGAAGAAUUCUGUUAGACAUACAACAUGCUCAACGUGCUAAAAGAGCUUCGACUGAGAUGAUCAUCCAGAAAGGAAAUUAAUUUUAUGUACAAACAUUGAUGAUAUUACUACAAUCUGCAUCUGUAACCAAAUGUUACUAUCCUUUGCCAUGUAUAAAUGAACCUUUGUUGUAACAUAUUC